AGAGUUUGAUCAUGGCUCAGAGCGAACGCUGGCGGAAUGCCUAACACAUGCAAGUCGCACGCCCCGCAAGGGGAGUGGCGGACGGGUGAGCAACGCGUAGGAAUGUGUCCGGAGGUGGGGGACAACCCCGGGAAACUGGGGCUAAUACCGCAUAUGGCCUGCGGGCCAAAGCCGCGAGGCGCCUUUGGAGCAGCCUGCGUCCGAUUAGCUUGUUGGCGGGGUAACGGCCCACCAAGGCUCCGAUCGGUAGCCGGUCUGAGAGGACGAUCGGCCACACUGGGACUGAGACACGGCCCAGACUCCUACGGGAGGCAGCAGUGGGGAAUAUUGGACAAUGGGCGCAAGCCUGAUCCAGCAAUUCCGCGUGGGUGAAGAAGGUCCUCGGAUUGUAAAGCCCUUUCGGCGGGGACGAUGGUGACGGUACCCGCAGAAGAAGCCCCGGCUAACUUCGUGCCAGCAGCCGCGGUAAUACGAAGGGGGCUAGCGUUGCUCGGAAUGACUGGGCGUAAAGGGCGCGUAGGCGGCCCUGUUAGUCAGGCGUGAAAGCCCCGGGCUCAACCCGGGGACUGCGCUUGAUACGGCGGGGCUAGAGGGCGGAAGAGGGUCGCGGAAUUCCCAGUGUAGAGGUGAAAUUCGUAGAUAUUGGGAAGAACACCGGUGGCGAAGGCGGCGACCUGGUCCGCACCUGACGCUGAGGCGCGACAGCGUGGGGAGCAAACAGGAUUAGAUACCCUAGUAGUCC
rnacentral:rRNA from 1 species